UACGUAGGGCGCAAGCGUUGUCCGGAAUUAUUGGGCGUAAAGAGCUCGUAGGCGGUUUGUUGCGUCGGCUGUGAAAACCUGAGGCUCAACCUCAGGCCUGCAGUCGAUACGAGCAGACUAGAGUGUUGCAGGGGAGACUGGAAUUCCUGGUGUAGCGGUGAAAUGCGCAGAUAUCAGGAGGAGCACCGGUGGCGAAGGCGGGUCUCUGGGCAACAACUGACGCUGAGGAGCGAAAGCGUGGGGAGCGAACAGG
rnacentral:rRNA from 1 species